GGCUAGGGGUCGCUGCCGGGGCGUCUCGGAAACGGCGGGACGGUCUACCUUGCCCCGGCAGGUUGCGUCCGGCUCGGUCUCUCCGCGGCGGCGGCGGCUAGGGGUCGCUGCCGGGGCGGCUCGGAAACGGCGGCACGGUCUACCCGGCUCCGGCGGUCCCCGUCCGGCUCGGUCGCUCCGCGGCGGCGGCUAGGGGUCGCUGCCGGGGCGGCUGGGGCACGGCGGAACGGUCUACCUGGUCCCGGCGGGCACCGUCCGGCUCGGUCUCUCCGCGGCGGCGGCUAGGGGUCGCUGCCGGGGCGUCUCGGAAACGGCGGAACGGUCUACCCGGGUGCUACCGUCUCGCGCUCUCCGCGGCGGCGGCUAGAGGUCGCUGCCGGGGCGGCUUGCGAUCCGCGUCCAGGUCUACCCCGUUUCGGAUUGUCUUGGCCGCUCUGGCUGUGGGGGGGGGCGCUACAGCUCCGGAGCUGCCAGAGGCGUCGCUGUAAUUUUGUACCUCCAGUUACGUCGAGGUAAACCUCGGCUGCCGUCGGAGCCGCUGCCGGUAGUCGGCGCCUAUGGGACUAGAACGUUUUUUUCGGAUGCCUUAUAUGUUCGUCUGUAGGAGCGAGUGAGGACUCGGCUCCGGUAGUGGCGGUGAGCGGGCGCUCGCGAGCAGGGUUGACCGGCCGGCCGCCUAGAGAGGGGAUCGGCGGCGGCGGCGGCGGCUUUCUCGGGCAUCGGUUCGUUCGAUCGGUCCGGUCGCUUCGGUUUGUCCGUCGCUCCUCAUCCCGCAGCUCUGUCCUGGGCUAAGGCGGUUUUGCAGGCGAGCAGCGAAAAAAAGCCGGAGAAGGCGAGAGAGAGGCAAGAGCAAGCCGGCUCCCGCGCCGCCAGGGCGAAGGCGAGAGAGAGAGGGAGACGAGAAGGGCACGGGCCGGUCUGCCGGCACCCGAACGUAGGAUGGCCGGGGGCGUCCCCGGCGGGUCCCGCCGCGAUGGAAGAGGGGGACCCGGAGGUCGUAGGUCGUGGCGGCGUCGCCUCGUCCUCCUUUCGCACCGCAUUCUCACCCGCACGCGGGAGCCCCGGCCGAUUCGUGGCGCUCCUCGGGCGCGUCGGGGAGGCUUCCCGGCGGGCCGGCUCUAUCCCGCUCCCCGGCUCGUUCGGGGUGGCGUGGGGCGGGCCGGUGUUCAGGCACGGGCGAGCACCUCUCGUCGGACGUUGCCCACGCACACCCACCUGCACGUGCGCGUGCGGUCUUUCCGCCGCGCCUGGGGGAAGGGCUCGCGCCUUCUCCCUCCUUCCUUUCUCCUCCCCCCCACCCCCUUUCUCCCACCGAUCGAUGAGGCCACUCGGGUCGCGUCGGAGAGGGCCCCCGGCGGGCCGGCGCUCCGCGCUCCCUGUCCCAGGGAAGCCGCGGCGGCGUCCGGUGUUCAGGCACGGGCGGCCUCCUCUCCAGUUCGCUUCCCGUCGUUCGCGAGGUGAGGCGUCGGCGCUGCCCUCGUUUCGG
ensembl:lncRNA